GGACAACCUACCCUUCGGUCCGGGAUAAUCCUGGGAAACUGGGGAUAAUACCGGAUGGGCCACAUAUGCUGGAAUGCUCUGUGGCCGAAAGCUUUUGCGCCGAAGGAUGGGUCUGCGGCCUAUCAGGGUAGUAGUGGGUGUAACGUACCUACUAGCCUACGACGGGUACGGGUUGUGAGAGCAAGAGCCCGGAGAUGGAUUCUGAGACACGAAUCCAGGCCCUACGGGGUGCAGCAGGCGCGAAAACUUUACAAUGCGGGAAACCGUGAUAAGGGGAUCUCGAGUGCCAGCAUAUAAUGUUGGCUGUCCAGAUGCCUAAAAAGCAUCUGUUAGCAAGGGCCGGGCAAGACCGGUGCCAGCCGCCGCGGUAACACCGGCGGCCCGAGUGGUAACCGCUAUUAUUGGGUCUAAAGGGUCUGUAGCCGGCCAGGUAAGUCCCUUGGGAAAUCUGGCAGCUCAACUGUCAGGCUGCUAGGGGAUACUGUUUGGCUUGGGACCGGGAGAGGUGAGAGGUACCUUGGGGGUAGGGGUGAAAUCUUGUGAUCCUCCGGGGACCACCAGUGGAACAGGCGUACC
rnacentral:rRNA from 1 species